CCUGAACGCUGGCGGCGUGGCUAAGACAUGCAAGUCGCACGGGGUAGCAAUACCCAGUGGCGAACGGGAGAGUAAUGAAUCGCUAACGUACCCCGGACUCUGGGAGUAGCUGCCCGAAACGGGCGAGGUAAUACCAGAUGAUAUAUUCCCUUCGGCAUCUUGGGAGUCUCAAAGGUCCGCCGGCAACGGUGGAUGGUCUGGGAGCGGGCGAUUCGUAUCAGCUAGUUGGUGGAGGUAACGGCUCACCAAGGCGACGACGCGUAGCCGGACUGAGAGGUUGGCCGGCCUCAUUGGGACUGAGACACUGCCC
rnacentral:rRNA from 1 species